AACUGCAUGGCCGAAAGAUCAAGGCAACAGUCUCGAAAUCUGUUAGGAUUUCCGCGUAGGUUCAAUCCUACUGUUGUCG
rnacentral:tRNA from 1 species